GAGUUGAUGUGCCUAAUUUCAAUAGCUGUCAAAAUCCUUUAGAAUUCAUAGGCUAGUUAAACAGGAUAGUAGGUGUAAUUCUUUGAGUGGAAGGAAUUAAUGGACGCGAAGGUCAACGUUUGUGUGUAUGAUGUUGAAUGGACCUCGAAUUUGAUGCUUUGAUUAUUGAGAUGUUCCAUCAUUUUCUCAAAGCAAUAAGCAAAGGUUAUCACUGACAGAGACACUAGGAGGUAGAGGGGAUUUGGGUUGGUGAAUUUCGCCAGUGAUGAGUCUGCCAAUAGUGCCUUAUCUACAUGGAUGGUGAGCUAUGGUAGCUGUUUCCUUGACCCAUAACAGGAAAUGCAGUAGUCGGUGUGAUGAAAGCAGGGCAGACCUUUACAACCGAACCCAUUGUCAAUCCAGAACUGUUUUGUCUUUACCCCUAAUGAUUAAUGGUGAGCUUUCAGCAAUUUUUUUUCCCAUAUUCACGGGGUGACCC